rfam:Ovis aries breed Texel chromosome 9, whole genome shotgun sequence.
UCCCUGAUAUCUUAGUUAGUAAAGAAUCUGCCUGCAAUACAGGAGACUCCAGUUCAAUUUCUGGGUCAGGAAG